CUGGUGACUCCUGGUUCCAAUGUGCUCAGCUCUGAGCCAGAGGCCAGCCUGCCUCAGACGGGGCAUUUCCUUCAAGUGGUUAAAAUUCGUUUUUGUGCUGAGUCAGGAAGCUAGCCGGCUUGGGCCUCCCCACCUCCAACGCUGAGUGGCACACAGUACCAGUCAUCAGCCUAAGCAGAGACCUGGGGGCAGGCAGCUGGGACAAAGCAGCACUGGACCCGAGCUGGAGGGAUGGAUCCCGGGCCCUCCACUCACUGGCCGACAAUGACGGGCAAGUGGCUUCACCUCUCGUCCCUCAGUGACUUCAUCUAUAAAUGGGGCUGAAAUCAGGGAAUCAAAAGGCAUGAAGAGCUAGCCCCUAGCAUGACACUUGGCCUACUUUUGGUAUUUAAUAAACGUCUUCUGACCUGGUCCUCCUUCGUACCUCAACCACAUCAGACACAGCGUCAUGAUGAUUUUUCCCCUGAGCAAAGUGGCUUUGUGUGAAGUUGCUAGGCCUG
rnacentral:lncRNA from 1 species